rnacentral:rRNA from 1 species
ACGAGUGGCGCACGGGUGCGCAACGCGUAUAGAACCUACCCUGUACAGGGGGAUAGCCCAGAGAAAUUUGGAUUAAUACCCCGUGGUAAAUAUAAAUGGCAUCGUUUAUAUUUUAAAGUUUUCGGACGGUACAGGAUGGCUAUGCGUCCUAUUAGUUAGAUGGUGAGGUAACGGCUCACAUGGCAGCGAUAGGUAGGGGCCCUGAGAGGGGGAUCCCCCACACUGGUACUGAGACACGGACCAG